AGCGAACGCUGGCGGCAUGCCUAACACAUGCAAGUCGCACGGGGGGGCUUCGGCCUCCCAGUGGCGGACGGGUGAGGAACGCGUAGGGACCUGUCGAGGGGUGGGGGAUAACCGCGGGAAACUGCGGCUAAUACCGCAUGACGCCGCGGCGUGACAGCCGGGGCCAAAGGCGAAAGCCGCCCGCCGAGGGGCCUGCGUCCGAUUAGCUGGUUGGCGGGGUAGCGGCCCACCAAGGCGUCGAUCGGUAGCUGGUCUGAGAGGGUGAUCAGCCACACCGGGACUGAGACACGGCCCGGACUCCUACGGGAGGCAGCAGUGGGGAAUAUUGGACAAUGGGCGCAAGCCUGAUCCAGCAAUGCCGCGUGGGUGAAGAAGGUCUUCGGAUUGUAAAGCCCUUUCGGCGGGGACGAUGGUGGCGGUACCCGCAGAAGAAGCCCCGGCUAACUUCGUG
rnacentral:rRNA from 1 species